rnacentral:rRNA from 1 species
GACGAACCGUGCAAACGUUGUUCGGAAUCACUGGGCUUAAAGGGCGCGUAGGCGGGCCGCCAAGUCUGUGGUGAAAGCCUCCAGCUCAACUGGAGAAGUGCCGUGGAUACUGGCGGCCUCGAGGAGGGUAGGGGCAUCUGGAACAGUAGGUGGAGCGGUGAAAUGCGUUGAUAUCUACUGGAACUCCGGUGGCGAAGGCGAGGUGCUGGACCCUUUCUGACGCUGAGGCGCGAAAGCCAGGGGAGCAAACGGG